rnacentral:lncRNA from 1 species
UUUGUACAGUCCAUCCAACAUGAUAUCAACUCUGCAAAACUAGAAUCCCUUGGCUGUGAAAUGACUAUUUCUCGUCUUUUUCAUAACUCUAAGGAGCUCAACCGAGCUCAAACUUUCAUGUUGUUUUGCAUCGAACAUGUAAAAUACCAUGUCGACCACAUUAUCAGAGAGGGAUUGCCACAAACUUUGUGCAUAUGAACAAAUUUAUUAGUGUACAAGUAAUAAUAUCUAGGCUAGAAAGAAUGGAUAGCACAUUAAAGUGCAUGUUUGGUAGGCAGUAUAAGAGAGGAAAGUAUAAUAAGCAAUAUCUUAGCUUCUUUUUUGACUAACGCCUUGUCCAAUCCUUCCAAUUGAAAAUGUUAUGAAUAAUGUAAUGAAAGAGAAGAAUUUAAAGAAAUGUAUUUAAAUCCAAUCGUGUUAUAAGUACAUAAAAUUUUGAUAGACAACAUAUGGCUUUGAAUCAUUGGAAGAUGGAAGGAGAGAAAAAGAAAGAUCGAUCAUGCACCAGCAUAUAACCGUUGGUAUGAAUUCUAUCAUCAUUUUUUUUUUUUUGUUUUGGUACUUGUGGCUUUUUCCUGUUAAAUCUUCUUUCGACAGUAGUCCAUUAACUUCUACAUAACUGAAUAGGGCCAUGGAGAAUGUUUGCAACCUUCUGUGGAGCUCAGCAAAAUUAAUCAUCCUAAAAAUAAAUCUAGACAACAAACUUGGUGAAGAAUAUUGGGUCUUCCCUUUGGUUUCUCCCCACAUGAUCAUUACAUGCCUAUUUUAUUUGGAUCUACACUAUGUAGUAAUGUAUGUGGUUUAUUUAUUUAUUUUUAUUUUAUUUUGAUCUACACGACGUAGUAAUGCACGUGAUUUUUUUUUAUUACCUAGAUAGCUUCUGUCCGUAAUAACCAAUAGGAACUUCCGUCCUUCCCCUCCCCAGCGGCGACCUCGAAACGUUCAAGGUCGCAGGGUUCACUUCUUCCAUGUUUGCAACUUUUAACCCCACAUGUUUUGUCCAGUUUAGCCUUCAACUUUUGACUUUAUUCAUUUCAGUCCUUAAGCUUCUAAAUCAUCCAAUUUGGUUCUCCAACUUUGGAUCUCUUCAAUUUUGGUUCUCCAUCUUUUCACCAUAUCCAAAUUAGUCCCCAACUUCUGAUUUCAAUCAUUUGGUAACCAAAAUUCAUAAAAUCUUUUAGUUCGAUUCCAAUUCUAUCCAAUUGAGUCCCAAUACUGUCUGACAUCGAUCUAACUUCAUCUUUUAAAAUCACUUUCUUUUGCUUUGUACACAUUCAAAUUAGGGAUACAACAUAUAAAAAGUCAAAUACAAUAUAAAGCGAGUAGAAAUUCGCUCAAAUAAUCAAAUAUUAAGUAGAUUUAGCCCUUAUUCGGGCUCCAUUUUUUUCAAAUUAUAAUGAAAAGAAUAGUAAUUUUUUG